UNUGGCUAGCCAAUUUGACUUCCCUGAAUGC
rnacentral:piRNA from 1 species